GUGAGUGUAGCUCAAUUUGGUUAGAGCACUGGACUGUGGCUCCAGGGGUUGAGGGUUCAAAUCCCUUCACUCACCCCA
rnacentral:tRNA from 7 species